rnacentral:lncRNA from 1 species
AGUAUUUGACGCAGCGCAAUUAACUGUUUAUAUUCCCAUGGAUCUACCUCAGCCAUGUCCUUCUGUAGCGUCUACAAAGGAUAGAUUUAAUGACAGUAUUCAACCACUGCAGGGUCAGCCAGAGGUGGUUUUCAAGGACAAUGCAAAAGAGCAGGAAGCUCAAGGAGUAGAGGAGCCUGCUGCGGUUGCAGCAAAACCACUUUCAGAUAUAUAUGGAGGAGCUACUACUCACAAGAGGCCAUGUUGAACGACUUAUUGUCCGUUUGGGCGUAUAAUUUGCUCCUAUCCAAAUCCAGAAUUCCCCAGUUAAAAGGAUAUAUAUAUAUAUAUAUAUCAAAACUCUUUCUAUUUACUGCAUUUAAAAUACUUGUUAACUGAGCUUUUAUAUAUACAGUAUUUGACCCAACGCGAUUGACUGUGGAUCUGCCCAUGGAUCCACCUCGGCCAUAUUCUUCUCCAGUGUCUAACAAAGAUGGAUCUGAAAAUCUUCACCGGGAGGUUGUUGAGGACAAUGCGGAAGAACUGGCAGCACAAGGAGUAGAGGCUGCUGCAAAACCACGUCCAGAUAUGCAGCCAUGUGGAACAACUUAUAGUCC